GUAUGCCUCCUUUUUAGCUAGAUGUUCCCAGAUGCUUUUGGUGAGCCAUGGGGGCUUUUGCCCCCUCUUGCCUCCUUUCAUCCAUUAUGUUUCCUUCUGG